AAGUCAUAUCGGCCCUGUUGCAUGAGGAAAUGCUUCAAAACCAACUAGGCCCUUGUUUUAUGUGCUUGUUGCUAUGGAACACAGAAAUCAUUACUGUUAGUUUCUCCUUGGUGCAUUAGUUGGGCAGCCAUAUCACCCAUGUAUGAUGCACUCAGGAAGAAAUGUGUGUAUCUUUCAGGUCAAACAAACGGUUUUGAUAAGGUAUCAAUAUUUGCUUAAGAGGCUGCGUUGGAAGCACACCCACUUAGUUGGAAUUAAUGGAAUAGGAUUUAGGACAGGCGAUGUAAUCCAACUUGACCAACGAGUUAAAUAUUGACAAGAAGCGGAAAAGCAGCAGCGCUUGGUCUGUAGGGAAAAGAGAGAUCCUGCUUUUCUGUUUGAGCACAUCCAGGAUUUUUGUACUCAGAAUGAAUGACUGCAGGAGCCCUUGUAAUCCACGCCUGUACAAUGACCUGCAUGGCUUACCAUUUCUUCAAUGGUUACAGGUCCCUCUGCAUGAAUCAUUACAGGAAAGGAAGCAGGUCGUGGGAAGAGGGAAGUCUAACGAAUGUAUACACAUAAGUGCAAUUCUGCAAACAUGGGGCACAAAACUGAAUUCCUGCCUUUUUCCUAGGCCUGAUUCCCAACCUUGUCGCUUGAUUAAGAAUAAAGCAAAACAUAGGAGUUUGUCCCAUGGUGCUAUAAUGCAGACAUCAAUCUGAGAAGAAAGCAUAUGUGACACUUUUACUAAGGCUUGAUAAGAUGUGACUUUGUGGAAUCAAGAUCGUUUAAUCAGUUUUGCUACCUUAUAACAUGAUAACCUUUGGUGUCUCAAGUAACUUCAGGUCACUUAGGAUCAGCUCUUUGUUUUUUUGAUUUGUGCAAGUUUUCCAAGUGAAUGUUAGCAUAUUGAGUGAAUGUUUUGUAAUGUAUUGCAGCCGGUGCUUGGUUUAAAAAAAAAAAAAAAA